rnacentral:misc_RNA from 1 species
AACUUGUAACAAGGUUUCCGUGGGUGAACCUGCGGAUGGAUCCUUACCAAAGGGGUUAUUUCCACACGUAAUGUGAACUGUUAUGGUGAAUUUUUGCGGCCUGCCUUGCUUGCCGCCUGCAUGUAAUGUAAUUUAAGUCUUGUUUUUAACAUGAACCAAUGGAUCUGGUGGCUCUU